CGUGAGUCAACUAGGCUGACUCAUGACUUAUGAGUUCUGCACAUCUUCUUGGAUAGGUGAUCAUUUGACCCAGGUUGUAUGAAUCCUUCAAGGGGAUUAGGAGAUACAGAGUGGACACAAAAUGGAAGGCUCAAACUUUUGACCGCGAGUUGUGACCUUGACCUUGAGUCAGCAUGACUGAUUCAUAAGUUCUGCACAUGCCUUGAUGAGGUGAUCAUUUAACCCAAAUUUGAUGAAAAUCCUUCAAGGGGUUUAGGAGAUACGGAGCGGACACAAAAGUGUUACGGAAGGAUGGGCGAAGACCAUUCCUAUAACCCCUCACCACUUGUGGCGGGGGAUUAAAAAUACCUACAGUGGAAUUUCAACAUGUAUUAUGCAGUCAGUGAGCACACACUAAGUGUUAAUGAUCAUUAAUUUUGUUUAACUUUUGACCAAAUCCAUUACCUGAUCAGAAUCUGAUGAAAAUUACAGCUCCUGAAAAUCCCCAUGGUUGUGGGUGGUGCAGACAGAAUGUGAGCCAGGAAGUACAUCUGUAAAAGCCCAGACAUAUAGAUAUGUAGGAGUAUCUUCAUUCUUCAAUUGCAUCUUAGCUAAGAAGUUAACUUGGAUCUGCUUCACAGGGAGUCAUUGAUGUUCAACUAAGUAGUAGGAUACAGUUUUCUGAUCAAAUGAAAUGGCUUUAUCUUAUCUGGCUGGAAUUUAAAGAGCUGAGACUACCAUCAGGAAAAUCUACCAUGUAAUAACACUAACCCAGAACAUUGCUACUGAGUCUACCACACAGUAAAGCCGACUAGGGAAUAGCAAUUUAGUCGACCACACAGUGACAGGAACCCGGAGCAUUGCUACUAAUUGUCUCCUAUACAGUAGUUCUGAUUCAGAACAUUGCUACUGAGUCUACCACACAGUAAUGUGGAUUAGGACAUUGCUAUCAAGAUUUUCCAUGCAGUUACACUGACCAGAGUAGUCCAAACAGGAAAAACACUUAGGAUAACUUAGGACGUGUGGUCUUCCACACUGUAAUACUGACCCCAAAGUGUAGCUUUUCUAUGGAAAAUUCAGACAGAUAACUGAAGUUACCUGUCAGUAGGGGCAAUAAACUCUUUAUUAUCUGUUUAUGUUAACACUCCUGAUACUGAAGGCUGGACUCUGCUGAACACUGGAAAAAAAGCAGAGAGAAACAUGCAACUCGCUCUGUGACAUUAGUGCAGUUUUUUUUCAAAUGUGACCAUGAGAUAUAGACAUUAAAAUUAUUUUAAGUAACAUUUAAGUAAUGUUCAAAGGUGGUAGUGAAAACUCACUGAAUGUGACAUCAAAGUUCAAAUGAGUGGGAAAGAAAGAUAGUUGUAGUUACUAGUAAAAAUUUAAGAUUAGAUAUUAAAAUAAUUUUUAAAAGUGACAGUAGGUACAGUAAAAUGUGGAUAAUAUGCAUUUUGAUUGAUAAUGUCAAAUAAUAAAGUGUAACUGAUUGUU